AUGGAGAUAAUUCAACUUUCAGAGGCUUCCUCAUAAAUUUUUGAAAUUUUUGAGACACAGAUAAACUUCGGGUGAUUGAGGUCAACUAUUUUUCUGCAUCCAGCAGCCACAAUAGUCAUCGGUGUACUGCCACAGGAGGAGACAUUUUUCAGAAUAACCUGUCCCUUUCCUCACAGGUUAUGAAAAGAUUACUUAACUGUAUUAUUAUUAUUAUCUAAAUUUAUAAUUUAGAACUCCGCAUGUACUAGUAGUAGCAUUAAUCCUGUCAGGGAUUGCAUGAACUUAAGUUUUUGUAUUAACAAAUGAAAAA